ACCAGCAGGCGUUUGAGAGAGGAGACACGAGCUGGACGCCUGGCCCUUCCCUCCCACCGGGUCCUAGUCCACCGCUCCCGGCGCCGGCUCCCCGCCUCUCCCGCUAUGUACCGACCGCGAGCCCGGGCGGCUCCCGAGGGCAGGGUCCGGGGCUGCGCGGUGCCCAGCAACGUGCUCCUGCUGCUCGCCUACCUGGCUUACCUGGCGCUGGGCACCGGCGUGUUCUGGACGCUGGAGGGCCGCGCGGCGCAGGACUCCAGCCGCAGCUUCCAGCGCGACAAGUGGGAGCUGUUGCAGAACUUCACGUGUCUGGACCGCCCGGCGCUGGACUCGCUGAUCCGGGAUGUCGUCCAAGCGUACAAAAACGGGGCCAGCCUCCUCAGCAACACCACCAGCAUGGGGCGCUGGGAGCUCAUGGGCUCCUUCUUCUUUUCUGUGUCCACCAUCACCACCAUUGGCUAUGGCAACCUGAGCCCCAACACGAUGGCUGCCCGCCUCUUCUGCAUCUUCUUUGCCCUUGUGGGGAUCCCACUCAACCUCGUGGUGCUCAACCGACUGGGGCGUCUCAUGCAGCAGGGAGUAAACCACUGCGCCAGCAGGCUGGGGGGCACCUGGCAGGUGAGGGGGCUGCUGGACAGGGUGGGGAUGGGUCACUUCUAGAAUGAGGGGCUGUGGUGGGAAUUGGGGUUACUAAUGAGGUGGGAGCAGGGGUUACUGAUGGGGUUGUGUUGGGAUUGGGGGGUCACUGCUCAGAAUAGGGUCCUUAGUGAAAAAGGGCAUUAAUGGUAGAGACGGGGUGGGACUGGGCAGACGGGAAGGACAUGAGGCACAGGCUCCAGGCAGGGAACCUGGAGAACACAGACCAGGUGAAGAGCACCCUUCUUACUGGGGAGAGCUCUGGCCUGCCUCCAGCUCCCUCGGCUCCCACGCAUGGGGUGAAGGCCUCAGGAGGCCUGGGGACACUGUUGCACCCACAGGACCCGGACAAGGCGCGGUGGCUGGCAGGCUCUGGUGCCCUCCUCUCGGGCCUCCUGCUCUUCCUGCUGCUGCCACCACUGCUCUUCUCCCACAUGGAGGGCUGGAGCUACACGGAGGGCUUCUACUUCGCCUUCAUCACCCUCAGCACCGUG
rnacentral:sRNA from 1 species